GGGUCAGUAGGUUGGUCGUGCCACCGGUACGUACUGGUCUCACUGAUUCCUCCUUCCUGAAGAACCGUAAUGCCAUUAAUUUGGUGUUGCGGGGAAACAGGACUGCUACUUUGAAAAAAUUAGAGUGUUUAAAGCAAGCUAACGCUUGAAUACAUUAGCAUGGAAUAAUGAAAUAGGACGAUCGAUCCCAUUUUGUUGGUUUCUAGGAUUGACGUA
rnacentral:rRNA from 1 species